UGGGAUAUAGCUCAGUUGGCAGAGCAGGUGGCUGUUAACCACCGUGUCGCAGGUUCGAACCCUGCUAUCCCAGCCA
rnacentral:tRNA from 1 species